ACUCAUCUUUUUAACAACUUACCUAGAUAAAGUGAAGUUUUAGCUAUGUUUCUUACCGCACUAGUUUUCUAUCUGCUUAAAGUUUUAUUUAUAAAGGUGUUAGGGCAUGUUCUGAACUCUUUUCCUGCUGCUUACAAUUUUCUUUAGCACAUCAUAGCUACAAAUGAGCUGAUAAUAUCUGAAUGUUUGCCCAAAAUUCUGAGUGUGUAUCUUCCAUAUAACACAGGGUUCUAUAUCAAUUUCAGUGCUGACCUGAAAUAUCUUGAGUCGUAAAUGGACAGUAAAAUGGAUGCUUAAAAGUAUCACAAGGAUAAGCCCUGAGCACCCAUAAAGUCCCAUGUGUCAUUUUUAUAGGAGUGCCUUAUUGGCAGGCAUACAGCAGAUCUGUCUGAUUUUAAUAUAUAGUUCCAGAAACUAAGUUGAGAAUCCCAACAUGUGGGUUCUUGUUUCAGUGUUUGAGGAAACAGUCUGUAGCAUGAAAUAAAUGUUCUACUCUUCUGUGCACCAUUUUCCCUGCCCAUUUGUGUGAAAUGUUUUGGGCUUGGUCAACUCUAAUUCACAUUUUAUAUGAUUAUAUUCCGAAUGAUAUCCUCUCUUUCAAGUGAUGCCCAUGCGGUAGACAUUGUAGACUUUAUGCCAUUUCAAAUCACUUUACUUGUAUGUUAAUUAGAAGUAGUAAGGCAAACGCUAAAUUUACCUUUCUCCUUGCCCAUACAGUCAAGAAGAUCAUUCAUUAAAGAGAAACAUCCAAAAUGAUGGAAGAGCAAAGUGAGGAUCCAAGAAGUUUCUGACAUGGUGUAUGAGUCAAAUGUAUGACAAUGGAGUUAUCUUGGUCAUGCAACAUGUGUUAAACCAGUUUUCUCUGGUUCCUAGUCCAUCCAAUGUGACUACAAUUAAACUAAGCUUAUUCUUCCGGGCAUCUCACACGAUUGUCGUGAGUGUUCCUUGUGCUGAUGGUUAUGGUUCUCUUCCGUUGCAAAGGCUUACAGAGUCUCGGGUAGCUCAGAGUCGUCAGCUACUAUCUCCCUUGACCAUAGAUAACUUCUCAGGGCUGCACCUUGGACCACACCAGAUCAAGUACAAUUCCUUGCUAAAUAAUCACCUCUAACGCUGAAAAUCCUAAAAUCGAAAACAGAAGAUAAGAGGUGCAAAUUUUCAGGAAAAAAAAACCAUCAGUUAUUAAAACAGUGAGAAAAUCAGUAAUGAAAGGCAAAGGAUUCCUGUGGGGAUUCGGAAACGAGCCCCAGACUCCACCAAAGAGCAAGAUGCACUUUUCAUGUUAGACUGUACAAUGAUCCAGUACAGUUUAGCAAGUGCUUAUUCUCUUAAACCUAUCUUUUUCAAAUAUGCUUUCUUUUUACUUGUAAAAAUGUUUUUCAUUGAGACUAUAACAUUUUAGAUUAUUUUUUGUUAAGUUACCUUUAUAGAAUUUUAAAAGGGUGAGUUCUCUGCAUCAUCCCUGGAUAUGACUUUGUAUGUAAAGCAUGACCCAGAAUGAGUGUAAAAAUGUGCUCCUAAGAAUUAACACAAGUGUCUCCUCAAAAUAGGAAUGUUGACAAAACUACCUAAGUAAUUCAUAAAGUAAAUUGUAAGACUCUGCUUUAUUAAACUUUGUUACAC
rnacentral:lncRNA from 1 species